UACGAAGGGUGCAAGCGUUACUCGGAAUUACUGGGCGUAAAGCGUGCGUAGGUGGUUCGUUAAGUCGGAUGUGAAAGCCCUCGGCUCAACUGAGGAAGUGCACCCGAAACUGGCGAGCUUGAGUACGAAAGAGGAUCGCGGAAUUCCCGGUGUAGAGGUGAAAUUCGUAGAUAUCGGGAGGAACACCGGUGGCGAAGGCGGCGAUCUGGGUCGAUACUGACGCUGAGGUGCGAAAGCGUGGGGAGCAACAGG
rnacentral:rRNA from 1 species